UAUCAAAAUGCAUCUUGUUUAUUUGGCUUUUGAAACUGUUAUAACACAACUUAUAACAUUGGAAAUACAUUAUUUUAUUAAUACAAAGUAGUUUUCAUAGUAAAAUACCAAAUUAAUUAAAAGGCAGAAUGAAACGUACCAUAUACAUGUAGACGACAAAUGAAAACUGUCAAAGUAUCCUUCUCUCUAAAAAGCCACAAAUUACGUUCUUUGAAGUAAGUAUUGGGUUUUAUUUCCUAAACUAUACACAUCAAUAUCACCUCCUGAAGCUUUUUACCCAGUUUCACGGUUGGUAUUUCGGACAUGCAAUGUUCCAUGCUGUCAAACUUGGAAUGCCUCGUUUGGAUACAGGGAGACAAAGACUUGGAGACCCAGAAGCCUGAAAGUGGUUCUUGACCGACUUUGUCCACUCAAAUUAAGGCAUCAUGCAGCUGGUCAUCACUUACAUUGCUGGUUGCACGCAGGCACACACACACCAGUGCUCACAGCCAGCACUUGUUAAGAAUGGUUGAGCUGGACCAAAUGGUAUACGUGUCUUUCAUCAAUAUAAACAUGGACUGCAUUCAUCUGGACACGGGCCUUGCGGCCGGGAGGGACCGAGCGGGGAGCAAGGCCUGCGGGGAGGCGCAGGAUGGACGCGUUGGCUGUCAUGAUGUAGGACCUCCUGACCUAGAACCAUGCCCGGCGCAGGGAGAACAACGAGCUUACGGACCGGGUGCGGGGGCUGCUGUGCGAGAAAGCCUACCUGCUGGCCCGGGAGCGUUCGCCGGCCCACCUGGUGGCUUUCCCUGGACGUUUAACGGCGACUCCGCCCGGCCUCCCGACUUUUUGAUGCAGGCGUUCUCUUACAUGACUUUCUUCGAGGCUAGAUUCUCGAAAGACAUCCUGAAGGUGGCUUUCUUAAUUAGCUGCCUCACCGGCUGGCGGAGCAGUUCGUAGUCGCCUACAUCGAGAGGGAGAGCCCCGUCCUGGCUCAGUACUGGGGCUUCGUGGACGCGCUGUAGCGGGUCUUCGCCGUCGUGGGUAGGAAACAGUCGGGCCGGAUCCCCGGUGUCUGGGGAGCGGCUGCCGGCCGGGCCCGCGCGAGCCGCUUCACUCCUACAAGCCCGGCUCACUAGUUCCAAGCUGCUGGACUUUGACCCUCGCUGGGAAGCUUGAUCGCCGCCUGUUCUCGCCAAUCUCUAUGCCUUUGCACUGCCCAGCAACCCGGUCACUGCCCAGGACCUGUUAAAAGUUGAAUGGACCUCCCAGAAUCACGCCGCUGCCACCGCCGUUUCUAGAGACGGCUUUUGGCCACCUUUGAGAAUCAGGGUCAAACUUGGAAGGGCCUGCAUUUGUCACACUUCCUCGGACACUAAUUUGGAUAGUUCAGGCCCAGAGACGGCUUCCCGGGUUAGUGUGCCUGACAACACUGAAGAAAAAUUGUGACAUUUUCCUUCCCCAGAAUUACUUCGUUUUAUACAUUUCACUUCUCUUCUGAAAUCACAGCAAUGCCAGUUUGCGCCUUUUGGUCUGAGGAACGCAGGCCCUGGCCACUACCAGGAAAAAAACCUUCUGGAUUUCAGCUUUGGCAAGCUUCCUCUGUUUCUGAGACACCUCCAUCACCUGGGUUACAAUCCCAUCCAUGAUUUUCCCCAUCUCCAGGCAUUUUUCAUGGAAAGCUCCUCAUGCUUUUUAAUUCCAGUUUAUCCAUUUGUGUGGCUUUAACCUCCACAUCCAGGUCUUUCUGGCUAAACUGCAGUAUAUCCACAAUGGGGCCAAUGGACACAUAAGGGAGGCCCUAUCACAGGAACACGAACACCCGGAGUCGCUAGAAAUCAGAUUCCACCGGCUUUGCUUCAGGCCGACUUCCUAAGGAAGGCAUGGUAGCAUCACAGAUGCUGUUUGUCUCAGUUUCCUGAGAAGCCAGUUUCUUAGAGCUGUCAUUCAAGAGUGGGUCAAAUUUGAGAUAUAAAAACCUUUCUCAAGGUAGACUCUUUGGCCCCUAUGCCUAGUAUGUCAGCUGGGCCUCUGAAGCUCUCCUCUUUGAGGUCCUGGCAGGCUCUGGCCCCUGUUGAGAAGGGGAAGCAGUCAUGUGAACUCAUGUGCUGGAAGAAUCCACUCUACCCCUUCCCUGGCUUCUCUGCUGCAAUUUUUGUCUUUAAACGUAUUUUCAGGUAUCCUUUGCACAUGGCCUGCUAUCAACAAUCCUCUACAAUGAUUCUCAGCAUCACCUAGGGAGCUUAUGUAAAAUCUCAAAUUCCUGGGCCCUAUCCCCAGAGUUUCUUAUCAAGUAAGUCUGCAUUGGGAUCUGAGGAUUUGCAUCUCUAACAAAAAUUCCUAGGCGAUGCUCACACUGUUGGUGUAAGGGUACAGUUUCCUUGAUGGAGAACUAUCAAAGCAGUCAAAGCUAUCAAAAUAAAAAAGAAUUCUGAUUGGGUGCAGUGGCUCACACCUGUCAUUCCAGCACUUUGAGAGGCCAAGGUGGGCAGAUCACAUGAGGCCAGGAGUUCAAGACCAGCCUGGCCAACAUGGCAGAAACCCCAUCUCUACUAAAAAUACCAAAAUUAGCCGGGCAUGGUGGAACACACCUGCAAUCCCAGCUACUCGGGAGGCUGAGGCAAGAGAAUCGCUUGAACCUGGGAGGCAGAAGUUGCAGUGAAACAAGUUGGUGCCAAUGCAUUCCAGCCUGGAUGAUGGAGCGAGACUCUGUCUCAAGAAAAAAAAAACAAAAACAAAAACAGAACUCUGCCUCAUAGCGUCUUUUAAGUUAUACACUGGACCUAUCCUUUCCUCACUGACAGACAUUUUAAAAAUUUUUUGGUAAGGCCUAGUUCAUAUAAAAUGUAAUCCAAGCCAAAAGUUAACAAGAAUAAGGGGAGGAAAGGGGACUCCAAUAGCAGAGAAAGGUAUUUACCUGGGAUAUACACUGCAAGAAAAUCAAAGCUAUAAGAAACGUCCAUGAAUAGUAGCCAUAAGGCAUCAGAGUGAUAAAAUUCCUGUCCCUAGGAGGGAAUAUUGGAGUUUGCCAGAGAAACAGAAUGAGAGAGACAGAGAGGUUUAUUGUAGGAAUUGGCUCAUAUGAUUACGGAGGCUGAGAAGACCCACGAUCUGCCAUCUGCAAGCUGGAGAAUCAGGAAAGCUGGAGGUGUAAUUCAGUCAAGUCCAAUGGCCAGAGAAGCAAGUGUACUGAUAUCCAAGAGCAGGAGAAAAUAGAUGUCCCAGAACAAGCAGAGAGGCUGAUUUUGUCCUUCCUCUGCCUUUUUGUUUCAUAUGGGGCACUGAAUGGACUGAUGCCCAUCCACAUUAGUGAGGGUGGAUCUUCUUUACUCAGUCUACCAGUAGAAAUGUCAAUGACUUCCAGAAACACCCUCACCAACACACGUGGAAAUAAUGUUUUACCAGGUAUCUGGGCAUCCCUUGGUUCACUCAAGUUGACACAAAAUUAACCAUCACAGAAGGAGACUGGCCUUACUCUGAAAUUAGGAAACUAAAGAAGUGACCAGAAUGGAGACUAGGUAGAGACAACUAGUUCUCUACCAAACAUGUACAGUUAUUCGUUGGUAUCUGAAGGGGAUUGGUUCCAGGAACUCUCAGGGAUACCAAAAUCUGCAGGUGCUCAAGUCAUUUAUAUAAAAUAUUACAGUAUUUGCAUAUAACCUUUGCACAUCUUCCAUAUACUUUAAAUCAUCUCUACAUUACUUAUAAUAAUGAAUGUGUAAAUGCUAUGAAAAUAGUUACUACACUAUUGUUUAUUUGUAUUUUUAUUGAAUUGUUUUGGGGUGGGGGGCAGCUGUAUCUUUCUUAGUAAUAGAACCCCUGGUUUUAGCUGGGCACAUGACUGCCCUCAAUAAAGAUUAAAGUACCCCAGCCUUCCUUGAGAUUGUGGCCAUGUGACUGAACUUUAGACAGUGAGAUAUAAGCAGAUAUCUUCUGUGGCAGUGUUAGGAAACUAUUAAAGACAGUAAGAACAUUGC
rnacentral:lncRNA from 1 species